rnacentral:rRNA from 1 species
UCGCUCCUACCGAUUUCGAGUGGUCCGGUGAGCCUUUUGGACUAGUUGAAUUUAUUCUUCUGGAAAGUCAAGCAAACCUUAUCACUUAGAGGAAGGAG